UUAAGAAAGAUACUACUAAGAUCAGAUUAUAUGCAACGCAUUCUAUUUAAAUAUUCUGUUGCAUAUUCUGCUGUUAAACUGAUUAAGUUCUCAUAAACUAAUUCAAAAUUAUGUGACAAUAACAAAAAGAACAGAAAGUAAUGAAUAAACAUUUCAAAUUGAAUUACCAGAGCAAGUGAAGCAAACUGCGCCAGUGAAGUUGCCGUCAACGGAGCACAGCAGGCAGCCGCGUCAAUGACAAUUCCAGCCGCUUGUGUUUCUCGACGAGCGUAAUGAGCAUGAAAUUGCAAUGCUGAAUUAUUAAAAUCUGUUGGUUCAUACAGAGGAGGAAACCUUUUCGGCAAGCAAACUUUGCCACAUCAAUAUUGACACGAAAUGUCGGCGACACUGAUUUUCAAACAAACACACACACUAAGCGCCACCCACUAAGAGCCACCACAACGAAACUGCCAGCUUAACGAAUGUGGCAAUUAAACUUGUGCACAAAAUCUCAUCGAUUUUUUGCGGUGACGGCGUUGCGCGUGCAGAAGACGGUUCUUUGUGCUUACUUUGUUUAUUUAUCCAGCAAUUAUUUCACUCGAUUGCGAACUUGAUUAGUUUCGGCAAACUGCAAUUCAAUUUACGCUAUGUACACAAGUAAACACAAUGUAAUUGAUUUGUAAAUAUGUGGCAGCACAGUUUCUAAAUAAAGUCGUAUUUUAUUAAAUUACAUUUGCGGUUUACAUUCGAUUUUCAGCAGCUGAUUUGGGAUUACAGCACAUAAAAAAAUUUAUUUUUAAUUAAUUUUCCAUUUAAAAUAGUUUUCCAUUUACAUUUUCACGCUCACGAUCACUUCAAAAUCAAUUUAAAGCCGCUGCUUGCUGUUGCCGCGUUCGCGUCUCAUUUUGGACUGUGGCGACCAAACAUUUGAGUCAACACGCAUGGACUUCAUAUUUUCAUUUAGCAAAUUUCCAACCAAAGCUCAGCUCUGACGCCGCCGUGUAUUAGUUUACCAUCAACCACCAUCGCCACAUUGGGGAAAUGCGUGCAUGGCAAGCCUAUGAUCGCUGCGGCUGUGUGCGGAGCGAUCUACAAAUUUCCACAGAGCUCGGCUUGACUCAUCCAAUUUCAACCGCCGCCAGCAAGCUAAGUUCACCUUCAGCGCUCCUCAGCUCCCUCUUCGCCAGCCACUACCACUGCAGACAUUAGCAAUGCUUGUUGUUGUUGCUUUUCGGUUUCGGUGUGGCAUUAUGAAGCGCUGAGUCUUUCUUGCCAAACACUCAGUGACACUCGUGUCAACUCGGUCGGUGGCAGCAUUACAACAUUGGCUGUUGACAGCGACGAAACCGAGCAGCAGCGCUAUAGUUGGCAGCGGAUGACAGUUGCUGAAGAGCGGCCAUAAAAAUAAAGCUGUUGUAAUUUGUUGCUUGUUUUUGCUUUUUCUUAAUUUUUAUUUUGAAAAUAUUCUUAAAGCACCGCUCUUCGGCUAAGCAUUCCAUUUGCUUUGUCCGUCUGCUCAUAAAUCACCAGCACGAAUUUUCACUUUUCACUCAUUACAAGAAAAAAAUUGUUUACAAAAAUACGCAAAUUGGCUUUCCCACGUUGUUUUUUCUAGUAGUAAUCGCUGCAUUCGAAGUUUAGUUCGUGACAUUUACAUGCUGGCGCGUGUGUGUGUGUGAAGAAAUACGUGUUUUCAACAAUUUGAAAUUUGCAUUAUGAUAAUUCAUAGCGUUUUUAUACGUUUCCAUAACUUUGCAAAGGAAAUUUGGUAAUCACGUAACAACUUAUUGAGGGGGAAGCGAGUUUAAUGAACCCAAGCGCCAACAGAUUUUUUGUAAAGAUGUUUUGGAUGAAACGAAAUUAUCAAAGAGAUUUAUCUAUAUAUUUGAAUUCGUUGUUGGCUUACAAAGUACUCGAUGACACUCAGCGUUAAUUUGAUUAAUUGGUUUUAUUUACACUUUAUAUUACUUUUUUACCAUUUUCGAUAGUUGCUAACAAAUUCUUUAUUUCUAUCAUAGAUUUAAAAUUUAAUUAGAAUAUUAUCACAUAUCCCAAAUCCCUGUGUCAAGCCAUACUAAUUUUGAUGCCUUGGCAUUAAAUAACUUUGUGAAAAUAGCUGAAAAACCGAGCUACACAAUACUCGAUUCCAUACGAAUCGUUGUAAUCGUUUAUCUAAGUUCAAAUACAAAUAAAGCGAUUAAUGUAGUCAGUUUCUGAAAGUGUCUUCAGAAAUUGAAAGAUAUGUAUAAAUAUUAUUUUAUUACUAGAUAAAAGUUUCCCCUAGGUUUCUCUCUAAAAUGUUGUUUACGUUUUGUGACAGAAAAAUGGUUCGAGUAGUAUUACCAUAAUAUUCAAAUCUAAACAGAAAAGUAUAAAAGACAUAAAUUGUAUAAAGACUAUGGAAGACCCGAUGAUGCUACAAGAAAAUGUAUAUACUUUAAAUAAAAUUUACGAAGAGGCUUUCAUGAAGCAUUCUUCAGAGAAAUGUUUUUUGUUUAACAUUAGGCUUACGAUAUUAUUCAUAUGUAUAUAUUGCCCUCAAUUCAAAUCGUAUACCCCACUUUAAUAGCGAUUACCUUUUGAUCUACCUUCUAAUUCAUUAAACAAUUUAAUUUGAUUUAAUAUAAAGAAUAUGUUUCCUCUGAAAUAUAACUUGGCGCAGCUGUCUACCAUUUAGCCAAGUUUAUUUUUGAAUACAAUCAGUUUUUAUUCAGCAGAGCUAUCGUUGCAACUCCAACGCGUUGCAGUAACUUGCUUAACAAACUGAAUUGUUUAUUUAUUGAGCUUCUGUGAAAAAUUUUGCUGGAAUAUUCUCCAGUAGGUGUAUUCCGCUUAUUCGAAACCAAAGCCUGCGAGACAUCAGCGUCAACAACGAGAGAGAGAAAAAAAUCAAAAAACCAAAACGUGGUAUGUGUGCAUUGUACGAGGUGUGUUCUAAAAAUAACUGUAAUUAUAUUAUAUAUUUAUUCAUCGUCUAUAUUAAUGUUGUCGUCUUUAAAAUAGUCUCCAUUCGAUAUUAUGCACUUAUGCCAACGCUUCUUGCAAUCGUCGAAGCACUUCUCAAACUCGAUUUUUGGGAUAGCCUUUGGCUCUUUCAGCAAUUUUAUGCUUGUAAAAUGACGGCCCUUUACGGUUCUCUUUAUUUUUGGAAAUAGGAAAAAGCCACAGGGUCGUGUCUGGCAAAUUUGGAAUAAAAAUGUUACUCAAAAAUAUCCACGGAAUUAUCCGACUGCCCUCUCAAUUGCUUUUAUAAGCUUUUAUCUGCAUAGAUCAAAUAAAAAAUAUUCUGCAAAUAUUGUAUUCUGCUGGCAAUUGGGGGCAUGUGGUUCAUAACGUGAAAACAACGAUACAAAUAUUGGCAAAAAAUUACAAAAAAAAUACUAACAAAAACAAUUUUGUAUAGAAUGCGCGCUGAACCGAACCAAAGAGUAACUAAGUGUGUGCUUACUAACGUUUGUUUAUGAGCCAAAUAUAGUACAUAUAAUAAAUAACAUAAUGUACAAGGUUCUAUAUUUCAAUAUGCGUAAUAAGUAUAUAUAGUAUGUACAUACGAAUAUAAAGUGCUCCGCAGUGAAAUAAGAAACUAGUUCGGAAAAAACUAGUAAACAGCUAUGCUAUUCUGCAAAUUAUUUCAGAUUUAUACCAAUUAGUUUUUAGAUUGUUUUCAGAAAAAGAACAUAGUUAAAUUUGCAAGAUUUUCCUAACUGAGCAAAUUGAAAUACUAUAUAGUUACAUAUACAUAUACCUGUUUUGAAUUUAUUUGGAAGCGGUAUAUUUCUGACAAUUCUCUUCUCGACGUACAUCUACACGAAAGAAACGCUACCUUAUAUGAAAAAUCCAACUGACUAGUUAAGCUUUGUACUAGUUGUUAAACGUUUUAUAACUAGUUAAUUUGACUAUAUGGUUAAUAAAUAUUUAAAUAUAUACAUAGAAAGUUUUUACAAGCAAUCACGGUUGUAAUGCACUCCAUUUGUUGCAAACACGUACUUGUGCAAAUACAAAGAUAUCUUUGUAGUGCUACAGCGCCUAAUACAUGUAAGUAUUUCUGUCCGCGCUGAUUUAUUGCCGACUAUUAUGCUGGUCAUUUCGGCUUUGCUGCACUCGAUGUUAUCCUGCGGGAACUAGCAGUACUUACUUGUAACUACGUAGAUCUUUAUCAAGUGUUUGAAAAAAAAAAAUAAAUAAAUGUGAAACUUUUUAUGUCUACCGAAAGUCCGCACAUUAUUUGGAAAAAUAUAUAUGUGGGAUUGAGGUAACCCCGACGUAGCUGGUAACCCUUAAAUACAAUACAUAAAGUCUACAUCAACGAGCACAAGAGAGCCGGAGAGUUUUGAGAGUAGACGCGAAGCAAGCAAGACGAAAAGACGCUCGACGAAAAGACGCGAAUACUAUCUUAUUAACUUUGAAUCUUUAAUCUAAAAUAUAAAUCGUUUUUGAAUAACUUUUACUCCUGAUUAAAACUUUACAAUAUCUAAAACUAUUCGUUUAUUCAUUGCUCAACCGAAUUAGUAAGCGUGAGUAAAAGCCCUACAUAUUUGGGGGCUCAUCCGAAAAAAAAAAAAAAAAAAAAAUUUUUUUUACAUGAACCGAUAGUGCGAAAAGUAUUUAUUUAAAUUGCCGCAUUUAUAUACGCCGCCGCGAGUGGGUUGAACGAUAUAAUUUUCAUUAGAAAUCAAAAAUUAAAGCGUAAAAUAGCAACAAUGACCAGUUUGCAAAAAUUUGAAUUUGUACGAGCAAAGCUGCGUACAGCCCGAAAAGAGAGCAUAAAAGCUCUGCACAAAUUUGUAUUCGAAUCAGAUGGAGACAGAUCGAGCAGACAACGUUUACGAGAAUUUACAGGAUUCCAAUUCGACGAGAACGACGACCGCUGCAAACAGAAGUUUGCAUACAUCGAAAACAAUUUGACGGCCAAUGAUCUAAAUUCAAUUUGUAACGUAUUGGGUUUAAGUGGCAAUGUAGCCGAUGUGAAGCUGCAUAUUUUUCGAAAUUUGCAGAACGCAACAUUGUUAUGUGCUGCAGCAGAAGGCGACGAGAACAGCGACGACGAAGACGAAGGUGGAGUUGACGACGAUAUCGAAAAUGAUGACGCAGAUAUUAUGCGUAGCUUUGACGAAACAGCAGCGAGUAAUAGCAUUUUCGAAUUACCACAACGAACGAAUGCAGUAAGCAGCGAGAAUAACCAAACACAUAGGAGAAAUGCGGAGAAGAACGUCGAGCUUGGCGAGAGAGCAGUUACAAAAACAACUACAUCGGUAACGCCGACACAAAUGUCACGAUUUGCAAUCAACUUUAGAGACGUCGAAGAUUCUGUUCGACAUUUUGACGGCAGCGAAAAUAUUUCUGUUGAAGUAUGGUUAAGCGAUUUUGAAGAGACAGCAAUUUUAAUGGGUUGGGAUGAACUACAAAUGUUUAUAUUUGCAAAGAAAUCAUUACGCGGUUUGGCUAAGUUAUUUAUCCAAAGCGAACGGGGAAUAACAUCUUGGCAAAAACUAAAAUCGGCAUUAGCAGAAGAAUAUAAAACUAUUGUUAACAGUGCGAAUAUACACAAACAAUUAAGCGCAAGAAAUAUGAAAGCAGAAGAGAGUGUACAAGAGUAUUUUUUAUGCAUGAAAGAGCUCGCGAUGCGUGGAAAUAUUGAAGAAAAUGUUCUAAUACAAUAUGUUAUUGAGGGUAUUCGCGAUAUUAAUAUAAACAAAACUGUUUUAUAUGGCGCACAUAAUUUGAAAGAAUUUAAAGAAAAAAUCAAAAUAUACGAAACAAUGCAAAAGUGUAAUAGGAAGAACAGUGAACUAAAAGUAGAUGAAAAGAAAGUAGUCAAAUACGAGAAAGAUAAGUUUACUUGCUAUAAUUGCGGUGCAAAGGGACACAAAAGUUCUGAGUGCAAAGAUAAAGAAAAAGGUACAAAAUGUUUUCAAUGUAAACAAUUUGGACAUAUUUCGAAGAAUUGCCCAAAAGCUAAAUCAACAAUUGACAAAAGUAAUACGCGAUAUUUAUGUGGAAAAAAUAAUAUCAUGAACAAAUUGGUGGUUAUCCAAAAUCAAAAAUAUAUUGCUCUGUUUGAUACAGGCAGCAAGUUUAAUUUAAUGACCGAGAGUGUGUACAAUUCUUUGGGUAAACCUGUGCUAGAACAAACAAACAUUCGUUUAGUAGGUUUUGGUGAACGAAAAUCUGAAAAUAAUAUAAAACCAAUUGGAAAACUAAACAUUGAAAUCGAAGUAGAUAAAGAACUGUUUCGCGUAAAUUUUUUGGUGGUAUCUGCCAAGUGUAUGGACAUUGACUUAGUAAUUGGUGAAGAGUUUUGUUCUCAAGCCGAAAUACACAUUAAUCGUGAUGGACUUUGCAUAAAGAAAAAUAGCUUGAAAAGUGAAGUGGUAUUUCCUAUGAUGAAUGUAGAGCUAACAACAACUGAUAUUGACAUUGACGAGAGUGCUAGUACGUUAGCAAAAGAAGAAGUGCGCGAUCUAGUAUGUAAUUAUAAGCCGGAGAAAUGCAAAUCAACAAACAUUGAAAUGAAUAUUGUGGUACGGGAUGAAACACCUAUAUCAUUUAGACCACGACGACUUCCAUUAACGCAGAGAUGUAUAGUGGAUGAUCAAAUAGAACAGUGGCUAAACGACGGUAUCAUCGAAAGUUCGGAAUCGGAGUUUAGUAGCCCUGUAGUACUAGUAAAGAAACGAGACAGUGAUUACCGAUUGUGCAUAGAUUAUAGGCAAAUUAAUAAAGUUAUAAUUAAAGAUCGUUUUCCGUUGCCAUUAAUAGAAGACCAACUAGAUCGUUUACAAAAAGCGAAAAUAUUUAGUACGAUAGACUUAAAAAACGGUUUUUUCCAUGUGCCCGUGUGUGAAUCUAGCCGCAAAUAUACAUCUUUUGUUACGCAUGGUGGACAAUACCAGUUUUGUAAAGUGCCAUUCGGUUUGUCCAACUCGCCUGGUGUUUUCCAAAGACACGUUAACGCAAUUUUUCGUGAUCUUUCGCGACGUAAUAUUGCAUUGCCGUAUAUAGACGACAUUAUAAUACCUGCCGAAAAUGAACAUGAAGCUAUGUGCAAUCUAAAAAUAGUGCUUAAUCAAUGUAAAGACUAUGGACUUAUGCUAAAUUUGAAAAAAUGUCAUUUCUUGAAAAAACGCGUAGAAUUUCUUGGCCAUGUUAUAGAGAGCCAAAAAAUUUCGCCGUCGCCAUCCAAAAUCGAUGCUCUGGAUAAGUUUCCAUUGCCGAAAAAUAUUAAACAGUUGCAGAGUUUCCUGGGUCUUGCAGGGUACUUUAGAAAAUUCGUACCUUCAUUUUCCAUAAUCGCGAAACCUUUGACUGAUUUGACUAAACAAGACAAAAAGUUUGAAAUAGGCGCCGAACAAAUAGCAGCAUUUGAGACAUUGAAGAAAAUGUUAAGCGAGAAACCAGUAUUGGGCAUUUUUAACCAGCAAUAUGAAACCGAAGUUCAUACUGACGCCUCUAUCGACGGUUAUGGGGCAGUACUCCUUCAAAUAAACCCUGAUGACAACCAGUUGCAUCCCAUUUAUUAUAGUAGUAAGAAGACUUCCGACGCAGAAAGAAAGUACUCAAGUUAUGAACUUGAAAUCUUAGCCGUUAUUGAAGCGCUGAAAAAGUUUCGAGUGUACUUGCUAGGCUUGCACUUUAAACUUGUCACUGACUGUAACGCCUUCACGAAAACGUUAGAGAAAAAGGAUUUGAGUACUAGGGUAGCUCGAUGGAUAUUAUUCCUCCAAGAAUACGAUUACGAAGUAGAACAUCGAAGUGGUCAACAAAUGAGGCACGUAGACGCCCUCAGUCGUCACCCAGUUAUGAUUGUAGCAGAUGCAGAUUUUCUAAGUUCCAUGCGACGUGCUCAGCAACAAGACGAAGACUUAAGAGCAAUUUCUGAAAUUAUUAAAGAAAAGCAGACAUACAAUGAUUAUUUCGAAAAAGGAGGCAUUCUUCAUAAGUUAGUUGAUGAUGUCGAAUUAGUUGUGGUACCGAAGCAUAUGCAGCGAGACGUAAUUAGACGUGCACACGAAAAAGGCCAUUUCGCCGUAAAGAAGACAAAGGAGCUAAUAUGUAAAGAGUUUUUUAUUCCAAAAAUAGAAGAAAAGAUACGCAUGCACAUCGCCAAUUGUGUUGCAUGUAUUGUCGCAAAUCGAAAGUUAGGGAAACAAGAAGGGAAAUUACACCCAAUUCCUAAAGAAGGAAUGCCGCUUCAUACAUACCAUAUUGAUUUUCUUGGUCCUUUGGAGACUACAAAUAAGUCAUAUAAGCACAUUUUCGCAGUAAUCGACUCGUUUACAAAAUUCGCAUGGUUAUAUCCAACCAAAACUACGUCAGCACAAGAAACAAUUAGCCGUUUGAAAUUACAAAAUACAACGUUUGGUAGUCCUGUUCAGAUUAUAUCUGACCGUGGAUCCGCAUUUACUUCCGACGAUUUUCGACGAUAUUGUGAAGAAGAAAAUAUUCAGCACACAACAAUAACUACCGGUCUACCUCGAGCUAAUGGCCAGGUGGAGCGAUUAAUUGGUGUCAUUACAAGCGUUUUAUCGAAACUGAGCAAAAGCGAUCCGACAAAGUGGUAUAAGUUUGUAGAUAGAGUACAACAGGUCAUUAAUUCUACUUAUAACCGAAGUAUCGACAUGACUCCAUUUGAAUUGCUAAUAGGCGUAAAGAUGCGAACAACCGACGAUUUUAACAUUAAAAACCUUAUACAAGAAGAAAUACGUCUACAAUAUCAAGAACAACGAGAUGAACUCAGACAACAAGCAAAAAAGCAGAUUUUGAAAAUACAAGACGAAAACAAAAAAACGUAUAACCUACGACGCAAAGAAGCUAAAAAAUACGAGAUUGACGAUUUAGUUGCUGUAAAACGCACGCAGUUUGGUGGUGGGCUCAAGCUAAAGCCAAAAUAUUUCGGUCCUUACCGUGUUGUUAAGGUAAAGGCCAACAAUUCGUAUGACGUUAUUAAGGCUGGCGUGUGUGAAGGCCCAAAACGAACUUCAACUUGUGCAGAAUUUAUGAAGCCAUGGGUAAAUUAUUCUGAUGAUGACGACGCAUUCGAGGGCGAAUGCGCAGCAGGAUGGCCGAAUUGUGGGAUUGAGGUAACCCCGACGUAGCUGGUAACCCUUAAAUACAAUACAUAAAGUCUACAUCAACGAGCACAAGAGAGCCGGAGAGUUUUGAGAGUAGACGCGAAGCAAGCAAGACGAAAAGACGCUCGACGAAAAGACGCGAAUACUAUCUUAUUAACUUUGAAUCUUUAAUCUAAAAUAUAAAUCGUUUUUGAAUAACUUUUACUCCUGAUUAAAACUUUACAAUAUCUAAAACUAUUCGUUUAUUCAUUGCUCAACCGAAUUAGUAAGCGUGAGUAAAAGCCCUACAUAUAAAAGGUGGCCUUGUUGUCCAGCCCAAAGUGUAUUGACAUACCCUUGUUAGACAAUAAAGUAGUAAACAAUUAAUGUAUUUGAUGGUUUAUUUUUUAUCUUGAACAAUAUAAUAUAUUUUGAUCAAAUUUGUUGCAAUUUGUCAGUUUGAGCACAAAACAUUGGUAAAUUGCUUCCAUGAGUUGUAUUGCACAAGCAGAAAGUAUUCGGCAUUUUCUUUUAUUCAUUCAAAAAAUAUUUUUUUGUUUGAAAUUUGUUUACUUUUGAAUUUUAACAUGACAUACAUGUCAAAUUCGGGUAAAGAAAAAUUAAAUGUCAUAUACUUAGUUGAGCCGAGCAAAGAAGAUAUGAUUAUUAGGUAAACUGUAUGGUUUAUGAAUAUUUUGGAAUAUUAGUAUUCGGAGUUAUUCUGAAGAGUCAAAGUUUCAUCUUCGAAAAAAUAAAAAAAAUUAUAUAAUAUAUCGAAAAUUACUGGACUUCUUACAACAUCUGUCAUCUAAGUUUGACGAAAAAGAAUUAAAUAACAUUGAAUUAAGAUAAAAUUUUAGAUUUUAUCUAUAUUUUGGAUUAGCAGCUAUAUCCUGUAUAAUCUUUAAUAAGACUUUUUUAAAAAGUCCUUUUUUCGAACUUCGAAUCCAAAUAUUUCGAUUUUACAGGCUAACUUCGAAAAUCGGAAAAUAUUGUUUUUACUUAUCACUCAAUCUGCCGGAAAAAAUUAGUUUGGUCUUACCCAUCCGAGAGUUAUGUAGUGUAAUAUAUAGAACUAACUUGAAUAGUAUUCUUUUCGAUUAUAUUUUGUCUUUUUCGAAUAUCAAUACGACUUGACAUGCUGUCAACAAUAUUUCUACAUAUUUCUUCUUUGAUAGCAUGCUAGGCAUGGUCGGUAUGUUUAUGGUCGUUACCUUGUUGCAAUAUAACGUCUGCCGUUUUUUAGUCCGAAAUUAAGCCUGGAGAUCUUAAGGCUACAAAUAAUAUUUUGAAUUCAUAGUUAGAACAAUUUUGAGAAAGAGCCCGACACCUUGGCUCACUAUGCAGCUCCACACCAUUAUGGAACCACCACCAAACUUGAGAGUUGGUUUAACAUCGUUCGGCUGUUGUUAUUCUGAAAAUAUAAUAAUUUCACCAAGAGUGAACAAUAACUUGACAAAUUCUAAUCGAAAUCGGAUGGACGAAGCUGCAGCGAACAUAAUCGUUAUGUAUUUGAUGGAAUUCCCUCAAGCAUUAAUAGAAGUCGAUUUCCAUUUGUUGUUGUCAUUUGCACCACUCAUUGUUGUGCAUUUGCUGUCAAAGUAAUUUACCACAAUACUACAACAACAAACACAUCACGCUGCAUCUAACACUUUGCAUAAUGCAUAAUAUGUACUCAUUACGUAUGUAAGUACACACAACAACAACUCAGCUGAAUGGCUUUCAAUGGGGCAUUCAACAGGUGCGAGUGAUUGCCGAGUAAUUAUGAGACUGAUGUGGAGGAAUGCCCACAACGCUCGCCCCCCCUCUACCACACACACAGACACAUUUAACUUUUUAUUUAUGUUUGAGUGUAUGUGUUGGUAAAUAUGUUUGGAGAUUUCUGUAGCCACUCUUCAGUGGAAAUUCCGCGCUUUAUGCUUUUCAACGUUUUGUUACAUUUCAAACGGCCGACAGCGCAGUUGACAGCGGCACGACUGAAUAAACAAACUUCCUGUCGCCGUUGCUCAUUCAUUCGCAUUCAAAGGGCCACCACCGGGUGGAUUGCGUAUGCGACCUGUUACAUACACACACACACUCGCAUACAUACCUAUAUCCAUACAGAUGUACGCUUUUAUGACGCAGUGCGAAACAAAAGCGCUUCCGGCCCUAAAGAUUGCUUUGACUGAGUGGAAAUUAUGUGCUUAAAUGUGUGAAAAGCGGCGCAUGCCGCAACAAACACACUCACUGGUAUACUCACAGGUGUACUCACAUCAUACAUAUGUACGCUUUAAGGCACACACGGGCAUUUGAGCACGAUUUCGUAUUAUACGCGUAUGCGGCUAUUAAUUAUGCAUAUGAGUAGUAUGUUAUGAGCCAACUGUUAAUUUUUUGUUUUUUUGUUUUUUUGUUUUGGUGGCAUGCAACAUGUCAUUGAUGAUUACAGCGAUGAUAACUGUGGCGAAAAAUUGUGCUGUUUGACUGAUUGUUCAUUGUCGUUGCGGUAAUGUCGCCUUGAAAAACAUUUUUCAGUUCGUUUCACUUGCUGCUCCUGCACAAAAGCCUUUGCCAGCUACAAUCACCUCUGCAGAACUACAUACAUACAUACAUAGAUGCUAGGCGGCCGGCAUGGCUUUGCUUGGCUAUGAUACCUGUGCUAAAAUCGUUUGGAUAAAUAUUCGGACCACAGUUGCCAAUAUAAUUGAAAUUAGCUCUUUGCAAAACAUAAAAUGGAUAUAUUUGAGAAGCGUCAGCAUCAAACGAAAACGGUUAUGGCUGAGUGGCGAUGAGACGGCGUAAGACCAGAAUUAAUGGUCAAUAAGGUUUCGUUAAAUGUUUGAAAGGGGAAUGGGAUUGGCAGGCAGGGGCGAAUUUUGAUACUUUUCUGCUGAUAGAAUUUAAUUUUUUGAAACUAUGAAAAUGUUAAACUAAAAACAAACCUAUUGUAUCUGGAUAGUAUUAAAAAGUUGUGGGAAUGUAGGCCAAUUAAAGAACCCAGAAAAAUAUAAACUGGACUUUGCCUUAUAACUCUGUGGCUGCUGAACUGGAUUUUUUUAGAUUUAAGGGGAAUUGUGAGUCGAAAAUGGACUUCUUUUGAAAAUUAGUUCUGAACUGAAAAGUCACCAAUAAUUUCUAUUAUUUUUUUAGAGUUUAUUGUUAAUCAUAACACAGGAAAACUAAAAACUCAUUUAUUAUGACUUUCAGUUUUCGUUCCAUGAGCAAACUGUUGUGAAAUAAAUUUAAAUUAAAAAAAAUUAUGCUAUUUGCAAAAAAAUACUUGAGUGCCUUAACUAAAAUGUCUAUAUUUUUAAUAAAAACAACCAGAAACAAGUAAGGAAAGGCUAAGUUCGGGUGCAACCGAACAUUUUAUACUCUCGCAAUUUAUUGAAGAAAUUUAACCAAUACAUAUAUGCGGAAUAAAGCUCACCGUAUUUUUGAAAAACCUAUAAUUAGGUAUAUGGGAGCUAGGAGAAGUUACUUUUGAAAAACCUACAAUGAGGUAUAUGGAAAUGUUAUGACCCGAUUUUAAAAAUUUUUGGAACAGAGACACACUAUUAUAAGAAAACAAUUUCCUCUGAAUUAAAUUGAGAUAUCUGAGAGAUUUACCCAUAUUUUCGGUUAAAAUGUAUAAUUAGGCGCUGAGUUCAUCAUGUUCGAUAUCUGGGGCCUUGAAAAGUUCGUUUUCGACAAAUUUUUCGCAAGUGAAGCCAGAGAUGAUAUGCACUAAUUGUGUAAAGUUUUUUUCCGUUAUCUACGUUCUUGAGAUAUGGUUUUUGACCUAUAAGUGGGCGACGCCACGCCCAUUUUAAAUUUUGUAAACAAAUCUGAGUACAGCUCCCUUCUGCUAUUUCUUCUGCAAAAUUUAGUGUUUCUGACGUUUUUCGUUAGUUAGUUAACCCACUUUUAGUAAUUUUCAACCUAACCUUUGUAUGGGAGGUGGGCGUGGUUAUUAUCCGAUUUCAACUAUUUUCAUGGUGUGUAGUGGGGUAUGUAUGAGACCCGACUGCAGAAAAUUUGGUUUAUAUAGCUUUAUUAGUUUGCGAGUUAAAUACAAAUAACCGAUUUGUGGGCGGGGCCACGCCCACUUCCCCAAAAAAAUGGCAUCCAAAUAUCUCCCCUCCUAGUGCGAUCCUUUAUUCCAAAUUUUACUUGUAUAUCUUCAUUUAUGGCUUAGUUAUGACACUUUAUGUGUUUUUGGUUUUCGCCAUUUUGUGGGCGUGGCAAUGGUCCGAUUCUGCCCAUUUUCGAACUUGAUCUUCUUAUGGUGCCAAGGAAUAUUUGUGCCAAGUUUCGUCAAGAUAUCUUAAUUUUUACUCAAGUUACAGCUUGCACUGACGGACAGACGGACAGACAUCCGGAUUUCAAAUCUACUCGUCAUCCUGAUCACUUUGGUAUAUGUAUAUGACUCUAUAUCUAACUCUUUUAGUUUUAGGUGUUACAAACAACCGUUAUGUGAACAAAACUAUAAUACUCUCGUAGCAACUUUUGUUGCGAGAGUAUAAAAACUGGUCUGAAUUAGAUACACAACUUUACUUAUUAUUUGUUUUUCAAAUGAAAAUUUUCAAAACAGUGCAUCGUUUUUUAAAGAUUGGAGCAACAAUCCAAUCAAUUCGCAGGCUUAAAACAUAUUUAAGAAAUAAAACUGGAGAAACACGCCUGAACGGAAGGGCUCGCUUGAAUAUCCAUAGAGAUAUAGACGUGACGGAGGAAGAGAUUUAAAAUGUUAUGGCCCAAAAUAAAAGAAGAUUAGACUUGAAUUUGUAAAUAAAAUAAUGAAACAUUGGCUUUUUACCUUAUCUCAGAACUGCUCAACCAAAUUCGGUUCGAACUAUUUCUUUGGCAUACCAAUGCUAUAGUUUGAAAACGGGCGAAAUCGAUUCACAACCACGCCCUCUUCCCAUAUACCACAAUUUUGAAGUCUAAUUGUUUCGUUCACUUUACAAUAUAUAAUUAAUUUCUAAUGUGGCAUAGGCAUAAUAAAAAUCGGACCAUAACUUUUCAAAGCUCCUGAAAGAACCGAAGUUUGCGGCUAAUUUUUUAUUGAAAAUAUAGGUAAAUAUCUCAGAUAUGCUAAAGUAAUUCUAAAGAGAUAUGUUAUCUUUAAUAUUGUACCUCUGUGCCAACAAAUUACAAAAUCAAGUCAAUAUCUCCUCUAGCCCCCAUAUACUUCAUAUUCGGAUUUUCAAACUUCAGGUGGAUUUUAUUUGAACGUUAUAUCGGUUAGUAUGUGAGAUAUAUUAGCAAAAUUAAAGAACGUAAAAUUUUGAAUAAUGUAGAUUGGUUACAAUUGAAAUCGGUCCAGGUAUUACCCCAGGGCCCAUAUACUAUAUAGACCUAUUUUCGUUAUUCUUGUCGCUGUGGUGUUUUGAAUCAUUAGGUUGAUUCACAUUGCACACAUACUUAAGCACAGAGUAUCACUUGCUCCCGCAGCUGACUCUAAACACUUUACACUUUAAUUGCGUGCUCCCUGACCCAUCUUUCGCAUUAUGACGAUAUUGUAUAAUAGCACAAGAUUUUAAGCUACAGUCGUCUCAUUGAACUCACGGUAUACACUCAUAUUAGUACAUAUGUAUUUGUAUGUACGUACAUAUGCAUAUGUAUGCAUGUAUUUAUUAUGCUAGUGUAACUGAUGCGGCUUGUUUGUGGCCGGGAAGGUCGUUUUAAGCUCUUGCAACAUUCAUUUUUAGCUCUUUCAUUCCAUCUUUAUUUGCAUGUCAUUGUGUUUUUAGUUACUUUAAAAUUAUUUUAACAAUUUUACAUAUACAUACUACAUUAGCGCAUACAUACAUAUGUACAUAGGAGUGACGUAAUGCAGCAUAGAGUUCAUUUGGAUGCGCGUAGUUGCGUUUGCGCGCUGCUGAUCCAAUUUGUUUGGCACCUCUUUUAUGAGCUCUUCGUUUUGUUUUUGUUUUUCAUUGAAUCACUGCAAUUGUCAUUUCAUCGCUUUUGGCAUGAAAAAUUGCCUGUGCUGCAAUAAUUUGGCUCGAACAUUAGCACCACAUAACAUCUACACGCUGUUAUGCGAUGGGUCUCUAUUUAGUUUUAUUAUCCGCCUUUUAAACACCUAUCACUGCGUUGUUGCGGAAGUAUUAAAUGCUAUUUUUGGUAUGAGGCAAGCAUAUGUACAUACAUAUUUUCAAAAGUUUGUUUCACAACUACCCAAAUGGGUCCGGCCGUGGAAUUUCAUAUCUGUGCUGGAGAUUUAGAAAGUUAAAAAAAUCAUAUACUUCCAAAUCUUCAUUCCUUAAUUAAUUCAUACAAAUCUUUUCUACUUAGAUUCUAUUAGAUUUCUUUAUUUUUUACUCUCCCAACAUGUUGCAAGGCGAGUAUUAUAGUUUUGUUCAUAUAACGGUUGUUUGUAAUUCUUGAAACUAUUGGAAAGAUCGGACCACUGGAAAAUAACCACGCUCACUCCCAUACAAAGCUUAUGCUGAGAAUUACUCAACGGAAAACGACUUUACGUUCGGAAAAUUAAAAUUUAGAUAAAAAAUUAAAAAUGGGCGUGGCUUAAACUACUCGACCAAUUUAAACAAGAUUUAGUACACAAUAUUAACUUGACACCCUAAUAUUACGGAUGGAAAAUGGGCUAAAUCGGUUAACAACCACGCCUACUUCUCAUAUAACACAAUUUAGAAUUCUCUCUGUUUCAAACAAUAAAAAUAUCGGAAUAAAACUUUGUUCAAUACUGCUUGUGCACUGUGGCAUCGCUCACUUAAAAAUUAUCGAAAUCGGACUAUAACUUUUCAAAGUCCAGAUAUCCAAAAAUAAUCAGUGCCUAAAGAUAACAUUUAAACAAAAAUAUCGAUAAAUCACAGAUGUUUUACAGAAAUUCAGAGAGAUGUACUAACUAACGGGUAAAACUCCACAUAUUUGAAGUUUCAACCAGAUAUCAUUAUACUGAAAAUUAAUUCCAAAAUGAUUAUUUUCCAUCUUUCGGUUUACCUUUCACCAUAAAUAUCAGGUGGUGAAUAAGAUAGCCCAACUUAGUUCGAGAACUUAAACAUAUAAUAAUGGUGUCCUCACCUUCCGUUCGCAAAGAUAUGCCCGAUAUAAUAAUUUUCGACCUUAUCCUUGACUACAACAAAAUAAGUUGCGUAAUUGUACGAUCACCUUAGUGUCUAUCAGUUGCGAGGCAACAAAUAUUAUUUGUCAUUUUUAAAACUUCAAAUAAUUUUAUCUUUCCUCAGAAGAUCUUUUUGUGUCAUACUUCAAGAUUCAAUAUUUUUACAACACUUCAAAUAAUUUUUGUUUUGUUUCAAAAUGUCUUUUGCUAUUCAAUUUUUCUGUAAUUGCAAUAUGUCAAUGUUGCGACGGGUUCUGUAAAUCGUUUUUUUCUUUUAUUGUAUGAAUUUCGUUGUAUUAUCCUUAAAGAGAGUGAAGUGCGUGACAAAUCUGAAGUUGGAAGUGAUCUAAAUGAAAAGAUUAAUUUACGCAAUUGGACUACAAAAAAUAUUCGACUCUUUAAUAAAACGGAAAAUAAAUGGAAAAGUUCGUUUCUUUGAGACUAUAGACAUAUCUAAACUUAAAAUAUCAAAUAUAUCCGAACUCAUGAUAUACAAAAACCAAAACAAAUGGCAAUCCAUUGCCAAGAAUUGUCAACUUUUCGUGUCAACAGCGAACCCUUUUCGUGUUUCAAGAAAGGCCAGUGGAAGUAGAGGUGGCUGUGAAAAUGGAAAUGGGAAGGGAGGAGAUGAAAACCGUGGAAAUUAUCGAUAUUUUAAAAAAGCAGGUAAGUGACGUCCAAAAUAGUUGUCUCUUGCAGUUUUGCUACAGACAGCAGAUGCAAAAGUGAAACUGCAAAUGAAAAUGCA